rnacentral:rRNA from 1 species
UUGACAUCCAGCGAACUUUCCAGAGAUGGAUUGGUGCCUUCGGGAGCGCUGAGACAGGUGCUGCAUGGCUGUCGUCAGCUCGNGUUGUGAAAUGUUGGGUUAAGUCCGNAACCCGAGCGCAACCCUUAUCCUUUGUUGCCAGCGAUUCGGUCGGGAACUCAAAGGAGACUGCCGGUGAUAAACCGGAGGAAGGUGGGGAUGACGUCAAGUCAUCAUGGCCCUUACGAGUAGGGCUACACACGUGCUACAAUGGCGCAUACAAAGAGAAGCGACCUCGCGAGAGCAAGCGGACCUCAUAAAGUGCGUCGUAGUCCGGAUCGGAGUCUGCAACUCGACUCCGUGAAGUCGGAAUCGCUAGUAAUCGUGGAUCAGAAUGCCACGGUGAAUACGUUCCCGGGCCUUGUACACACCGCCCGUCACACCAUGGGAGUGGGUUGCAAAAGAAGUAGGUAGCUUAACCCUCGGGAGGGCGCUUACCACUUUGUGAUUCAUGACUGGGGUGAAGUCGUAACAAGGUAGGCGUACGUGU